rnacentral:rRNA from 1 species
ACGAACGCUGGCGGCGUGCCUAAUACAUGCAAGUCGAACGGUCUUCCUAUGGAAGCUUGCUUCCACUGAGAAGAUAGUGGCGAACGGGUGAGUAACACGUGGGUAACCUGCCCAUAAGAGGGGGAUAACAUCCGGAAACGGGUGCUAAUACCGCAUAGUUUUCUUGAUCGCAUGAUUGAGAAAGGAAAGACGGCCUUUGUGCUGUCGCUUAUGGAUGGACCCGCGGCGUAUUAGUUAGUUGGUGAGGUAACGGCUCACCAAGACGAUGAUACGUAGCCGACCUGAGAGGGUGAUCGGCCACAUUGGGACUGAGACACGGCCCAAACUCCUACGGGAGGCAGCAGUAGGGAAUCUUCCGCAAUGGACGAAAGUCUGACGGAGCAACGCCGCGUGAGUGAAGAAAAGGGUUUUCGGAUCGUAAAACUCUGUUGUCAGAGAAGAACAAGUUGGAGAGUAACUGCUCCAGCCUUGACGGUAUCUGACCAGAAAGCCACGGCUAACUACGUGCCAGCCGCAGC